AUAGAUAGAACUGCACUGUUCUCUAAUUAUUCAGAAGAAGGUUUUAAACAGCGUAAAAGUUCAGAUAAACUUAAUAUUUUGAAUGAAAAAUUCGCAAAUGGAGAUAUCCAAUACAUCACUUUUGUAAAACAGUUGUAUUAAUUGGCGGUAAAAAUCUAGCUGAUACAAUUAAAAAUAUUUUGCUCUUACUGUCAACAGACACUAUUUUGUCAGAAUACAGCAUGAGUUGUCUAUAGAAGAAAAAAAAGUUUAAAGAGUUGACAUGUCUAUGUAACGCUGUCACUGAAGCUGCUUUAAAGUCAAAUAAAAACUUAACCAAAAUGGAUGCCAUCCAACUUAUUGGGAGAGUAAUUAGGCAUUCUUCUGACCGAAUAAAGAGAACAUCAACUAAUAUGGAUUUUGAUCAAUAAUGGCUUAAUUAACUGUUG
rnacentral:lncRNA from 1 species